rnacentral:rRNA from 1 species
GAUGAACGCUGGCGGCGUGCCUAACACAUGCAAGUUGAGCGAUUUACUUCGGUAAAGAGCGGCGGACGGGUGAGUAACGCGUGGGUAACCUGCCUCAUACACAUGGAUAACAUACCGAAAGGUAUGCUAAUACAAGAUGAUAUAAGAGAUUCGCAUGGAUUUCUUAUCAAAGCUUUUGCGGUAUGAGAUGGACCCGCGUCUGAUUAGCUAGUUGGUAAGGUAACGGCUUACCAAGGCGACGAUCAGUAGCCGACCUGAGAGGGUGAUCGGCCACAUUGGAACUGAGACACGGUCCAAACUCCUACGGGAGGCAGCAGUGGGGAAUAUUGCACAAUGGGCGAAAGCCUGAUGCAGCAACGCCGCGUGAGCGAUGAAGGCCUUCGGGUCGUAAAGCUCUGUCCUCAAGGAAGAUAAUGACGGUACUUGAGGAGGAAGCCCCGGCUAACUACGUGCCAGCCGCCGCGGUAAAAC